CAACUCCUGUGACCAACACAUAGAUUUUGAAAAGAGCCUUGUGAAAUGGUGACCAAAUCAUAUCACCCUUUGGUGCUUCAUCUGGAGAUGAUUUGUCUUUUGGAUACUCAGGAUUUGAAGCUUAUUCUUCUCAUUCUUCAUAAAAGCCAACUAGGCAAAAUGUGUAAUUUAUAUGGCAUAUCAGAAAAGGUCCUUUACUUCUGGAUAAGAAGAUGUGGGUGUCAAUUUUUGUUUUGCUAGGCUGUCUUACUCCUGAGGACCUGAAAGUUAUUUCCAAUGGCUUUAUACUGCACGGUAAAGAUGAGAGUAACUAC